UGUUUAAGCUUUCUUGUUCGCUGUAUCUUUUCAUCUGCAAAUCUUUAUCUCUUUGUCUCCUCCUCUUUCUUAUGAAUUCAUGUAUCUUCAUAUAUGCUUCAGGAGUACAGAAGGCCAUUGGGAAGUACAAAAGGCCAGGAAGCAAGUAAGGGGACAAAUCACAUAUUAUUUGUCCAUAACAAACACAUCAUUUCACAUGUACAUUAUUUAUUAGAGUUUAUUAAAAUCCCAAUGUGCCCAAUAAUAUAACUAAUAAAUAAUACAAACUGUCCAAUUAUAACUAA